UAGGGAAUCUUCGGCAAUGGACGGAAGUCUGACCGAGCAACGCCGCGUGAGUGAAGAAGGUUUUCGGAUCGUAAAGCUCUGUUGUUAGAGAAGAACGUUGGUAGGAGUGGAAAAUCUACCAAGUGACGGUAACUAACCAGAAAGGGACGGCUAACUACGUGCCAGCAGCCGCGGUAAUACGUAGGUCCCGAGCGUUGUCCGGAUUUAUUGGGCGUAAAGCGAGCGCAGGCGGUUCUUUAAGUCUGAAGUUAAAGGCAGUGGCUUAACCAUUGUACGCUUUGGAAACUGGAGGACUUGAGUGCAGAAGGGGAGAGUCGAAUUCCAUGUGUAGCGGUGAAAUGCGUAGAUAUAUGGAGGAACACCGGUGGCGAAAGCGGCUCUCUGGUCUGUAACUGACGCUGAGGCUCGAAAGCGUGGGGAGCAAACAGG
rnacentral:rRNA from 1 species